ACAUACGACCAUAGGGUGUGGAAAACAGGGCUUCCCGUCCGCUCAGCCGUACUUAAGCCACACGCUGGUGAGUUAGUAGUUGGGUGGGUGACCACCAGCGAAUCCUCACUGUUGUAUGUU
rfam:Penicillium italicum strain PHI-1 contig2535, whole genome shotgun sequence.